AUGUUCUCAUCGCACUCGGCGAGCCGCAUCAACAACAUCCGCACCUCCAUCAUCAACGCGCAGAAGGGUAAUCUCUCGGUUACUUCUUACUUUGCUGCUAUGUGAGGAUAUGCAGAUGAGCUAGCCGCGGCAGGCAAGGCCAUCCAGGAUGACGAACUCAUCUCCUACAUCAUCCAUGGGCUAGAUGCCGAUUACCAACCUCUGGUAUCUGCUCUCGACGCUCGUGUCACCCCCGUCACACUCGACGAACUCUACGCCAUGCUCUCCAACUUCGACCAGCGCGUGGCCCAUUACCACGGGUCCGGCGGC
rnacentral:rRNA from 1 species